rnacentral:rRNA from 1 species
ACGAACGCUGGCGGCAGGCCUAACACAUGCAAGUCGAGCGCCCCGCAAGGGGAGCGGCGCACGGGUGAGUAACGCGUGGGAACAUGCCCCGAGGUCGGGAAUAACGGCGGGAAACUGCCGCUAAUACCCGGUAAGCCUUGAGAGGGAAAGGAGAAAUCCGCCUUGGGAGUGGCCCGCGUUGGAUUAGCUAGUUGGUGGGGUAAAAGCCUACCAAGGCAACGAUCCAUAGCUGGUCUGAGAGGAUGAUCAGCCACACUGGGACUGAGACACGGCCCAGACUCCUACGGGAGGCAGCAGUGGGGAAUAUUGGACAAUGGGGGAAACCCUGAUCCAGCCAUGCCGCGUGAGUGAAGAAGGCCCUAGGGUUGUAAAGCUCUUUCGCACGCGACGAUGAUGACGGUAGCGUGAGAAGAAGCCCCGGCUAACUUCGU